rnacentral:rRNA from 1 species
ACUCGAGUGGCGAACGGGUGAGUAACACGUGGGUGAUCUGCCCUGUACUUUGGGAUAAGCCUGGGAAACUGGGUCUAAUACCGAAUAUGACCACUUCUUGGAUGGGGUGGUGGAAAGCUUUUGCGGUAUGGGAUGAGCUCGCGGCCUAUCAGCUUGUUGGUGGGGUAAUGGCCUACCAAGGCGUCGACGGGUAGCCGGCCUGAGAGGGUGUACGGCCACAUUGGGACUGAGAUACGGCCCAGACUCCUACGGGAGGCAGCAGUGGGGAAUAUUGCACAAUGGGCGCAAGCCUGAUGCAGCGACGCCGCGUGGGGGAUGACGGCCUUCGGGUUGUAAACUCCUUUCGCAACCGACGAAGCUUUUGUGACGGUAGGUUGAGAAGAAGCACCGGCUAACUACGUGCCAGCAGCCGCGGUAAUACGUAGGGUGCGAGCGUUGUCCGGAAUUACUGGGCGUAAAGAGCUCGUAGGUGGUUUGUCGCGUCGUUUGUGGAAUACCGCAGCUUAACUGCGGGGUUGCAGGCGAUACGGGCAUAACUUGAGUGCUGUAGGGGAGACUGGAAUUCCUGGUGUAGCGGUGGAAUGCGCAGAUA